rnacentral:rRNA from 1 species
CCUACGGGGGGCAGCAGUGGGGGAUAUUGGACAAUGGGGGAAACCCUGAUCCAGCGACGCCGCGUGAGUGAAGAAGUAUUUCGGUAUGUAAAGCUCUAUCAGCAGGGAAGAAAGAAAUGACGGUACCUGAGUAAGAAGCCCCGGCUAACUACGUGCCAGCAGCCGCGGUAAUACGUAGGGGGCAAGCGUUAUCCGGAAUGACUGGGUGUAAAGGGAGCGUAGACGGUAAUGCAAGUCUGGAGUGAAAGGCGGGGGCGCAACCCCCGGACUGCUCUGGAAACUGUGUAACUGGAGUGCAGGAGAGGCAGGCGGAAUUCCUAGUGUAGCGGUGAAAUGCGUAGAUAUUAGGAGGAACACCAGUGGCGAAGGCGGCCUGCUGGACUGUAACUGACGUUGAGGCUCGAAAGCGUGGGGAGCAAACAGGAUUAGAUACCCGAGUAGUC